GAUGAAGAACGUAGCGAAAUGCGAUAAGUAGUGUGAAUUGCAGAAUUCAGUGAAUCAUCGAAUCUUUGAACGCACAUUGCGCCCUCUGGUAUUCCGGAGGGCAUGCCUGUUCGAGCGUCAUUAUCCAUCCCUCAAACGACCUUUUUGGCUUGUUUGGUGUUGGGUGUUUUCCGAAUCGUUGUGAUUUGGACACCUCAAAGGUAAUGACGGUGUUCUCGUUAGAACUCAUCGCACUGAGCUUUUUUACAAAGGCACGCGGUGUCGGUACUACGAGUCAACCCGGUCUCCUCGUGACUUUUUUGACGAAAAGUCACACAUUUUUUACAAGGUUGACCUCGGAUCAGGUAGGGAUACCCGCUGAACUUAAGCAUAUCAAUAAGCGGAGGA
rnacentral:misc_RNA from 1 species